GGAGGCUCUUACGGCCAGGAGCUGGCUCAGCGCCCCGGGGAGCUCCCGGGUCCCGGCGCCGCGUCCGGCCGCGCAGCUCGGGGGGUCCGGGCAUGGCCCUGGCGCUGCGCCUGCUGCUGCUGCUGGGGGCCGCCGCCCUGCCGGGGGGCCGCUCCCGCCUGCACUCCAGGCGCAUAUUGGACACGGUGGUGUCGGAGCCCGGCCCGGGGCUGCCCUGGUACAGCCGUGUUGUGUACGUGGACGAUCAGGUCAACUAUGUCUACACCAGCAAGAUGCAGAAGGUGAAGCCUGGCCCAGUGUGGAUGGUGCAGAACAAGGAUGUGGAGUUCUGGAAUGAGAUGACCUGGUGGGGACAGCGCUUCCAGAAAUGGUACAACGUGAGUCUGAACACCCUGAGUCAGCUCUACAACCAGAGCGAGGGGUUUCACAUUAUCCAGGUGAUAAGCGGCUGUGAUCUCCGGGAAGACAACGUCAUUCAGGGGUUUUACCAGGAUUCGUAUGACGGACGAGACUUUCUUACCUUCGAUAAGGAGACCAUGACUUGGGUAGCAGCAGACAUUGGGGCUCAGAUCACCAAGAGGAGAUGGGAGGCUGAAGUAGUUGACAACCAGAGGUGGAAGCGCUUUACGGAGGAGAAAUGUAUUCCCUGGCUAAGGAGUUCUCUAGAGUACGGGAAGGAGACUCUGCAGAGGAAAGUGCGCCCAACAGCUAGAGUGAGUGACAGGUCAUCUCAUGACGGCCUCACCACCCUCUCCUGUAAGGUCAGUGGGUUCUACCCCCGGGACAUCACCGUGACCUGGCUGAAAAAUGGGGAGAGCAGACAGCAAGAGACCUACUCUGAAGGCAUCCUACCCAGUGGGGACGGGACCUACCAGACCUGGGUGAAAAUGGAGAUUGAUCCCAAGAUCAAAGCCCAUUAUUCAUGCCAUGUGGAGCAUGAAAGCCUGGUUGAGCCACUCUCUGUCUCCUGGGAACCAAAUAACAAUCUGAUUCCCGUUGUGGCUGGCGUUAUCACUGCAGCUGUCCUGAUUGGUGUUAUAAUCGGAGUAGUCGUCUGGAAAAAGAAACGCCCAGGGAAGAAGGGAGACGGCUAUGCUGUAGCUCAGCAUAAGUGACAAGAGACCCAUCGCCUCUUUUCAAGUGGCCAUCCCUGAACAGCGAUCAGUGUUUCCUUGUGGAUUUUAGCCUAGAGGCUCUGACAGGAGAUCCUCGCUCCCACUCAUAGGCCUUGUCUACACUGAGGAUUUUAAGGAAAUCUCCAACUAUUGCUCUAGUACCAUAGAAUCGUAGGACUGGAAAGAACCUCGAGAGGACAUCUAGUCCGGUUCCCUGCACUCAGGGCACGACUGUUUCAUCUCUAGACCAUCCUUGCCAGGUGUUUGUCUAACCUGCUCUUAAAAACCUCCAAUGAUGGAGAUUCCACAACUUCCCUAGAAAAUGACCAAGGAUCUAGUGGCUCUGACCUAUCUGCCAAGGCUUAACUGAGCCUGGUGGAGUCUGUGCCACAACGUGAGGGGAUCCCAGAGAGGAAGACGGAUGAGCUCUGCCUUGUCUCCCUGCAAGAACCAGUCAACCCCUCCCUAGCUUUUCUCUGGCACUUGGAGUGUCCUGUGUGGGAUUUCCAGCCUCAUCUGUCUGCUCACUGACCCACUUUUUGCUUUUCAGAUGUAAUAGUUUUCUGUAAUAAUGUUUUAUUUGCACAAAAUAAUUUCCAAAAUUUGAAUAGAUAAAAACUCUGUUAGUCAGAGUUUAGUAGUUGCUCGCGUUCAGUGAUGCACUCAGUGCUCUGGCUGCGCAGUGCUGUCUGCACACCCUGUGCGGUGCGCUAGGUCUGUGAGCAGUAGCUGCUUGUGUGUCUAUGGUGGGGGACGUCUUUCUUUUCUAUAGAAUUUCAUGAUUCUAACAUGGUAAAUGGCCGGGUCUACUCGCAGCUGGCAGUGCUGUUGCUAUCAUCAGCUGCGGAAGUCUGUUGGACAGGAAUAAGUGUCUGUGUUUAGUUUAUAAGUGCCUCUAAUGUCCUUUUCACCAUUCAUGGAGCCAUAGAAAUGCUGGGCUAAAGGGCCUUCAAGGUCAUCAAGUCCAGCCCCAAUCUCAGGAAGCACCAAGUUAACCUAGACCAUCCCUGACAGAUGUUUGUCCAACCUGUUGUUAAAAACUUCCAAUGACGGGGAUUCCACAUCCUCUCUAAGCAACCUGUGUGAUGAAGUGGGACAUUUUCCUAAUGUUGCGUGUGUAUACUGUGUGUGCCUCAGUUUCCCCCAUGUGCUGCAUGUCUACCCAAGGUGGGAGGGGGGGUGUCUGCUGUUCUAGAAGACCAGGUGUGACCCAGUCUAGCAGCCUGGACCCCAGACCAUGGCCUGGACACUUUGUAACUUAGCGACUGAUGACCCGAAGGCCCAUCCGAACUUGGAGCCAGCCAGUUAUGGGCAGCGGAGAGAACAAAGAGCUGAAGAGAGAGUCACCUGGAGACCUGUUUGCCCGGGAAAGAAGACAAAGAUGGAGGCGGGGCCUUGGAGGUGAUAUGGGGUGGGCCACAGAAAGGAGGAGUCACUUCUGGGCUGGGAACAAAGAGUGGCCUGAUCCCACCUGGACGGGCACAGACCCAGAUGGACGCCCCAGAGAACGUCUUGCAAUCUGCACCAGACGUACAAUAAACCCGUCAGUGCUGCGAUGGCUGAGAAUCGCUGCAGGCUGGAGAGAGGCAGGCAUGCUGGAGGCUCAGAUGUGUGGUACUGGAAGGCGGAGGAGAAGCCUACAGCUUAAACCCCGAGCAAAGCGUGACCUUAUGUAGGGUCAAUACUCUAAAGGCCGGUUCCUCCCGGGGCCAUACGGAGCCAAGAGAGCACUGGCCUGUGAGUCCGUGACAACCUGUUCCACAGUGAACUGUCCUUAGAGCUAGAGAGUUUUUCCUAAUGUGUAACCCAAAUUCCCCCUUCUCCUACUAUCAGUGCACCCGGAGAACAAUUGAUCACCGUCCUCUUCAGAGCAGCCCUUAAUGCAGGGAUAGUUAAUUAUUUUUUAAGCUCCAAAUUUCUUGGUCAAGACAUAGUCAUGGCCCAGACUCAAGAGAAACAUUUUUCACACCACAAGUUCCCCUGUUCAACAAACACAUACAAUGCUGUGAGAUAUACCCAGGGCCUAUGUUGUUUAUAUUCUUAGUGCAUUAAAUGAAAAAUAAAAUCAAACCACUGUAUAGCCUAAAAAUAACCUCCAAGAAAGAUAACAAGGAGUCUGGUGGCACCUUAAAGACUAACUGAUUUAUUUGGGCAUAAGCUUUCGUGAGCCCACAAAAGCUUAUGCGCAAAUAAAUCUGUUAGUCUUUAAGGUGCCACCAGACUCCUUGUUGUUUUUGGGGAUUCAGACUAACACGGCUACCCCCUGAUACUUGUCUCCAAGAAAGAUGUAAUUUAUCUGAAACGUUGAGAAAGUAUUUAGAAAAAUGUCAAGUAGGUGCAACCAUUAGCAUUAAAAAUACUUUAAGGAAACAGG